CUCUGCCGCGUCAGUUUCGAGAGCCGGGAACGAGAUUGGCUUGCACCCAGUCUCGAUCACUUGCACGGUGCUGUCUUCCUGGGGGAGUGGACGCUCGCUCUCCGCUGAAUGUUCAUCCUUCUUCCACCCCGACUCUUGGGCACCAUCGCCCUGCUCGUCCGGGAGACCCGCGGCCGACUGCUCCGUCGCGGACACCCCGCGAGACGGCUGUGCCUGAUCGUCUACCCCGUUCGUCCCCAUGCUGCCUGGCCUAGCGUUGAGGUGACUGCGGGCUCUUGGCGCACGUACAUGAGAUAUAGAAUGAGAGACGGCGUUUACUUUCGCUGGCUUCCUCGCUCACCAAAGAACCCACCGGACCGCCAACCUGCGACCGCUUGCGAGCACCUCGUCCCGGCCUCGGCACCACUUUGUCCCCCCCACAACAACGCAAGGACAAACUGUUCCGAUGAAAUUGGACUAAUUCGUCAGACGCGGUGGGCGGCUCGAGACAAACGUCGACAUUAUCGAUACCGACUUCAGCGCGGACGCUGCUCGACAUUGGCGUCAGCAGAUCGAUACUUCACUUCCUGUUUCCCGCUGUAUGCGCUUACUGCGAUUUUGGCAAAGGAGUAACUUAGCUGACGGCGUUUGUGUGUUGCUACUGACUCUUCACUCUUAGCAGGGACCGGUAUCAGAUUCUGACGAGAUGCUUAGCAAAAAUGCCACGAGUUUGCGGUAUCACGGCAAUUGCAAUUACAUCUCUGACGUGUAUUAUUUUGAAAUGUUUGGGUAAAUAAAAAAAAAAAUCAUCAAAAAAACAUUUUUACAACAUAAAAUCAAAAUGUAGUACAACAGUAAAAGUAGGCUGGUUAUUUCUCAGCUCUUCUCCCUCUUGUGAGUAAACACUUUAGACAGCAUUAUAGUUAUAUAAUAAGGUUAUCCUGAAUUUGUCAAAGAGGUGGCACUGUUGUAAAUGUGAUAUCCUUAAAUCGACCAAGGCGUAGAAGGCUACCCUUACUGACUGCUCAUACCAACAAUGGGAGGGGAAGGGGUCGUGUCACUUUGCAUGCAUGCACUGAUGACUGAAAAAAGAAAAACAGCUCAUACCGCAAAUGGAAAGUUUUAGCAGUUUGGAAACGGUGACUUUUUAAAACCGCGGUAUACCUCAAAACCAGUAACCGGCCCAUGCCUACUAGUCACCGCUACCUACAACUUAAGUGCCGCACGGAGUGGUCGCAGCGCGGAGGAGACACACUUUGCUCCCCCUCUUUUGUUUUGAUGUUGUACCACCUGUUAGUGACUCAGGAGUGUCUGGUUAGGAGGUCAUUUUUGAUUAAAUGCCGGCGUCCGGGCGACAUAUUGCCAAUGAGGAAACACUCUCCGUGCAACAUCAGGGCGAUGGAAAUUUUGAUGACGGGCCAACGUCGGUGCAACGUAAGUUUGCUGAUUGGGGUGCAUGUUUAUGGAAUGUGGGAGGAAGCUGAAGUUUCCAGAAAAAAAAUAACACACAGUCACAGGGAGAACAUGCAAACUCCACACAGGAAGGCUGGAGCCUGGAUUCAAACCUUGAACCCCCAGAACUGUGAGGCAGAUGUUCUAACCAGUCCGUAACUGUGCCAGAUAAUAUUUGUGAAAGUAAUAUUUUAUUCAUCCUCCACAUUAGUUUAUAUGCCAAACUUUAAAGUGCCGCUGGCUAGUUUUAGAGCAUUUAAUCGAUCGCAACUGGACUGUUGUGGUUGUCUUUGUCAUUUCACCUCUCACCAAAGCAGAAUAAACUGACCUGGAUGAAUGUACAGAUUAAAUGGCACAUAUGUUAUUUACAUUCACAUUUAAACAUUAUUUUAAUGCAUUUACCUCACAGAACAUGUUAUUAAAUUGAAUACCAUCCAUCCAUUUUCAGAAUCAGAAUCAUCUUUAUUUGUCAAGUAUGUCAAAAACACCCAAGGCAGAGUUGCAGCCACGCCAGAGAAUACAUUUGAGACAUAAAGACAUAAAAAACACAGUCACUGAGCAAUAAAGGUAAUGUAGUAAUGCCGGUAUAAUUGUUAUGAUUUUUUUUUUUACAUAUGUUUUUCCCAUACCGCUUAUCCGGGCGUGCUGGAGCCUGUCCCAGCUGACUCUGGGCGAGAGGCGGGGUACACCCUGAACUGGUCACUAGCCAAUCGCAGGGCACAUAGAAACAAACAACCAUUCACACUCACAUUCUCACCUACGGGCAAUUUAAAGUUUCCAAUGAACCUACCAUGCAUGUUUUGGGGAGGAAACUGGAGUACCUGGAGAAAACCCACACAGGCAUGAGGAGAACAUCCAAACUCCACACAGGCGAGGCCGGAUUUCAACCCGGAUCCUCAGAACUGUGAGGCAGAUGUGCUAACCAGUCGCCCACCGUGCUGCCUACAUUGAAUACUAUAUAUAAUAUACUUGUGCAUUAACUGUGAAAGGAAUACUAUAUAUUUGCUACAUUUACAAUAUAGGAAGUGAAGUAAACUUUUAUUAUGAUAAUACCAUAUUUUCUAUUUACUAAAUAAACUGUGCUCAAAUGACUUCCUGGUUUUUAUCUCAUUUACAAUGCACAGGGAAACAGGGAGAAGAACACUUCAAGGUUUUGUUAGCAUUCAUUCGGAUGAGCAAAUUCAUUUUGGUAUUUAAAACCAAAAAAAUGGUAUCGGUGUCUACAUCGCUAAUACUACCUGUUAUGACGUGGUAUCGGAUCGAUAGCUGACAGAUAGACUGACGGUUGGGAUCAAUGGCUGGGCUGAGUGCGAGCGUGCUCAGCAAUGCCACUUCGGCUCCUUUCGGAUUUACGAUCAAGCACGAACGUGUCUCGACGGAUUCCAAGCUAGCUAGCUUGCCUGGCUUCUCCAAACACGCGCUGCAGCUAUUUAUACUUUUGGGAAAGAAAGGUCCCUGUCAAGGAGGACUUUUGGUUCUACUCUGGGCUGAACCAGGAGCCGCAAACUGCACUGUUGCAGCUGCGGGUUCCAAGUGGAGAAGAAUCCAACCAGAAACACUCCAAAAUGUGCUCACAGAUGUGAAGUUUUCCUGCACUGGAACAAUUCCUGAGCCCGACCCAGAGGAGCUGCAUGCUUUUACCGACAUGCACGGCUCCCUGAAACUACUGCUAUCCUUUCAGGUAAAGGAUUUACGAUGCCUCAGUCCAGAGUGGCCUGCCCGUAUCAAAGCUUUCCUGAGCAUAUUUAGUCUGGCCAAUGCAGCGACUAGCGUGCACCUGCGAUGCAAAUUCCCUCAGCAGACCAUCCUGGAAGAAUUUAGAGCGAACUUCACAAAGAGGCUUACACUGGCAAUGGAACCGUCACUGAUGUUGGAUGUCACUUGCAGUUCCCUCGGCAACGAGUUGGUGAAAAAAGGAAGCUGGUGUCCCGGAGGCCACCCUGUCCUGGGCAGCGUAUUGCCUCUUAGCAUCCCACCUGCGACCAUGGACAACGGCCUGUACGGCGAACUCAACAUGCAGCUUGUGGCUCUCCUGUCACCUUGUGUGCUGCAAUACCCCAAUCUGGAAACACUUCUUACGCAUGUAGAAGUGUUGACUUACCCCCCAUCUCAUGUUCCAAUGACAUUCCCCUUCGCCUUCUUCCAAAGCCUCGUCGCUCAUCUGGACUUCCAGGAAUUUGGGCAGCGAAUCCUCCACUGCCCCUCCUACAUUGAUCCUUCACAUGAAGGCAGCAUUGUAUAUGCUGUGGAGCACAAAACCUGUCAGGAACCUGAGAAAAGGUUACAGUUGCACCCUGUAAAGCAGAAACUCGUGAUCUUCCUCUUUUUGCAGCACACUGACCCAUUUGUCUCACAGCUUUCUGAAUUUAUGGGUGCUGAUGCCCUGAUUGAGCGCCACCUCGAGGACAUUCUGAACAACAACAGGCGGGCAGUCACUGGAGCGCUGCACACUGAGUUAAGUAAUACAUUGAAGGCUCAAGAUCGCAGAAAGAAGGCGAGUCCGAUACACACACACACACACAAAACUGUCAGAGUGUGAAUACUAAAGGUAUGUGUGGAAAGGACCAAGAGAAGCUGCUUUCGGCUGCUGAGGUCAUUCUCAGCACAUCCAUCAGUAUUGUGAGCUGCAGCACCAACUUGAACUUCAGACAAGCCUGCCUGAGUCGCAUGCAGGUGACAUUUGAAUGCCUUGCAGCUGUUUUACUUUUCUAGAUGACUGCAGUCCAUUCAUGUGUAUGCAGGUGAGCAAUACUCAUGAACUGGCGGCCUCUCUCCGUGAAGCCUUGCUGAGGGUGAUAUCAUGGAGAUGUGUCCCCAGGAAAGGGUGCUUCUCUGCUCAGGUAGACCAACGUCUGGAAAGCGCUGAGGACACCAGAGCAGAAAUCUGAUCCUGAAAAAAUGUUUGCUCAUGGUUGAAUUCUGCAGAAGUAAUGUUAAAAAGAAUAGUUUAUAUUAUGUGCUUCUUGAAAAUGGACUUGAACCAAAAUAUGUUGAACCAUUUGUUUAUAGCUUGUUUCAAUGUUUGAAACUUCAAAUCGAAAUUGAGCAAAAAAGCCCUUUAAAUUAAACAUUGUACCACAUGUAAACGUGGACAAUAAAAUGACAAUUAUGUCAAAAAUGUUAUGUUUUUCCACUAGAUGUCAGAAGGUACAAUAUACCUGUGUUCACCUGUUGCAAUUCAUACAACAGAAUAAGUCAUGACCUGCUAUGAGUAUAUAAGCUUGUGUUCAAUUAAACAGGCCCACAUUUAACACAGAGCGAGUCAAUUUUGAAGUAAA